GGGAGCCUCCACCCAGGCGCAUGGCUCCAUGAAGCAAGAGGAGGAGGCAGAGCGCGAGAGAUCCCGUCCGCCCCAGCCGCGUCUGGGCCAGGAGAAAAGCAAAACCAUAUUCCUGCUGCUGUCAGUUUUGAUGCACUGAGAAAACUUCAGAGACCUAAGCUUUUUCCAGAGAAGAGAAGCUUUACUGGUGUUCCAGCCCUAAGAAACUUAAAUCCUCAGUGUGACACAACUCAGUCCUUCUACUGCAGCAGCUCUUUUAUAAAAGCCUCCCAAAGCUCCAAGAAGGAACAAAGAAUGUGACCCAGUAAGCUCACACCAUAAGUCUAUAUUGCAGAAACCUUUGUUCAACAAAACUGCAGAUGCUCUGUUGAAUCCACUGGAGAUUGUCCUGAUACUAAGGACAAGUAUGCUCAUAUGACAUUAACAGACAAGACACUUUUCAGAAAGACAGAUGGAGUCUCUCUGUCACCCAGACUGGAAUGCAGUGGCAUGAUCUUGGUUCACUGAAACCUCUGCCUUUCUGGUUCAAGCAAUUCUCAUGUUUCAGCCUCCCAGGCAACGUGUUGGACCUUCCGGAGCUUCUCAGAAGACAGAGGGUUUUCUUUUGAGGCUGUUGUACAGUGGCCUGAUUAUAGCUCACUGUAGCCUCGAAAUUCUGGGCCGAAAUGAUCCGCCUGCCUCAGCCUCCAAAGUAGCUGAGACUACAGGCUGGUCUUGAACUCUUGGGCUGAAGAGAUUCUCCCACCUCAGCCUCCCAAGGUGUUGAGAUUACAAGCAUGAGCCACCUCACCUGGCCAAGAGCUAGUUGUUAAAAGAGCCUAGCACUACCCCCCUCUUUCUUGUUUCCUCUCUCACCAUGUGAUCUCCACACACAUUGGCUUGCCUUCCCUUUCUGACAUGAGCGGAAGCAGCCUGAGGCCCUCACCAGAUGUGGAUGCCAGUGCCAUGCUUCUUGUACAAUCUGCAGAAUCAUAAGCUAAAUACACCUCUUUUCUUUAUAAAUUACCCAGCCUUGGGUAUUCCUUUAUAGCAACACAAACGGAGAAAGACAUAUGCAAUUUGCCAUUUUAAUCAUUUUUAACUGUACAAUUUGGUGGUAUUAAUUAUAUUUACAAUGUUGUGCAACCGUUACCACCAUCUAUUACCAAAGCCCUUUCAUCACCCCAAAUAGAAACUGUGCUUAUUCAGCAAAAACUCCCAUUUUCCUCUCCUUCCAGCCCCUGGUAACCUCUGGUAACCUCUAAUCUACCUCCUGUCUCUAUGAAUUUGCCUAUUGUAAAUAUUUCACAUAAUGGUAUCAUACACUA
rnacentral:lncRNA from 1 species